AUGCACGUGGCCUGUGACCGGACAACGGACAUCAUGGGGAAACGAGCUCCGAAUGUUGUUCUGCAACACGAAGCCUCCCAUGGGAUGGACGCAGGUGGAGCCCGAAAACAAUGGCUCGUGCGGGAUGGAGUGACGCGUCCUGCUGUGGAUAGUUUCCGCUGCUGUCACAACGGUCGGCGGCCUCGAUCGCGCCUCCGUGCCUGGACAUGGCGCCCCCUCGUUCACUUCGCUACGCCUCCGGCAAGCUCUCGACGCGCUCCCAGCUCAGCGCAUGGCCUCACCCAGUGCAGCAGAGCUUUUCCAUGUCUCCUCGCUGCCACGUUUGCAAAACCACCAUAA
rnacentral:rRNA from 1 species